rnacentral:lncRNA from 1 species
GACGGGAGCUGGAAACAAGCUAAGGAGUCAGGAGAACUGAGACCUGGAUGUAUCGUGGGUAACGGAGAAGAACGAGGCAGGUCGCUAGCUUCUCAGGGAUGGGGAUGGGAUGAUGGCAAAAGGAAUAGGGCUACCAGUGGGCAUGAUGAUGCCUAGGUGGGCUCCCCGGUGAGCCCCAGGCCAUGGUGACAGCCAGGAUGAGCUACUGGAGAUCAGAGAGGAGGAGCCAUGAGAAAGCUGUGGGUCCCUGGAUGUCUGGGGAGUCUAGAGCACGGGUGGUCUCAGGCGGCAAAGGGAUGCAUCCGUUACCUGCAUGAUGCGGACAUAGUCGGUGCGAUGCAGCUCACCCUCCUUGAUCACUUUCUUCUUGAGCGUGGCAAGGUUCCUCUCCAGGUGUUCCCGCUGGCGGGCGUACUCCUGUUGCAGGUCUGAGUUCAACCCUGCAAUCUCCACCUGGCGCAUCACGUGGGGAGACACUCAGCCAAGGAGGGGAGAAGUGAAGCCUAGCACAGGGCAGUGAGGGCGGGGCGCUCAGAGCUCACCAUGUCUGCCCGCUGCACGUACUUCUCAAAGAGGCCACGGAUCUUCUCCUUCAGCAGCCCGGGUUCCUGGAUGUACGCCACGCAGUUGUGAAGGUCUGUCUUGAAGCGUCGGACCAGCGCUUCCAGAUCCCGUUCCUGCAAUCAGACGUUUACUCCUGGGACAGCAUGGCAUGCUCUGUUCUGAGGGGCAGGGGCUUCAGGCAGAGGCUAAUGAAGGGGUCUGGUGCCUCCUCAUCUGGGAUGAACACCUGACUGCUGGCGCCCACCCUGGGCACAGAAACCUAGAUGGGCAGCCAGCCCAAAGGUCGCCGUUCUGAAAUGCUUGUGUACCUGCCUGGGCCGGGUACCCUGCCUGGACAGCUGACAGGGCUUGAGACUGCACACAUGGCAUCCCGAUUGCUCCGGAUUCCUUUAAGGGCCUCAAGCUUAUAAGAUGGAAGGGAACUCAUGUGGCCACACUUUCCUUUGGCGCCAAGAAAAAUAUCUCAUUCCCUCCCACAGAUCCUUACCCAGGGCUGCCCCAUGCCUAAGGACCUCAGCAGUGAUGGUUCCCCUGACUGUCAGGAGCACUGUUGUGGCUGGAUGACAACUCCCUCCAGAUUGUUGUAGACUGGACCAGCUCUCCAUCUUCAGCCACGCUUUCUGACAGCUACCUUCCCUUAUCAUUACCCAAGAGGGUGUCUCCUUUUUCUCUUCUCUCAUAGCCCUUUAUUGACUUUCCAUGUGUGUGUGCACAUGUGUUUAUAUACACACUGACAUAUAAAAUUUCUCUCC